GGUUGCCGUAUAACUGCGCCGCAAGCAGCCUGCAUAACCGCGACGGCAAUGCCGAGCCAGAGCGCGAGCCGCCGGCACCCGGGACCGCGCAUACGGCAUAGGCCUCGCCGCCAGCCCCCUCCAUAGCGCCAGGCCGUAUGCGGGGCGCGGGGCGCCGGUCGGCGCGGCCCCGGGCCCGGCAUGCGGCGGGAGGCGCGGGCGGGCGCUACCCAUACCGGCGGGGCGCAGCCAGGGCGCGGGGCCAGCGGAGAAGCGGGAGGGCGGCGGGCCGGGCCUCCCGGGACCCCCUGACAGGGCCCCUAAGCCCCCGCACAGGGACACCUCCUGCUGCAGCCGCCCUUCUCCCGGGCUGGUGCGGAGCUGAGGGCCUGCCCGGGACAGGGGGGCGGCCUGGCUGGCGAGCGAGCCCCUCUCUGUGGGGGGAGAAAAGAGCCACCUGGGUAGGGGCGAGGGGUACCGGCGCUGAGGUACCGUGAGCUGCUGGUUGCAGCCCAUCCCCUCCGCGUCCCCGUCUGCCUCCCACCCCCCCGUCCUGCUUGCCUGUCGGGCCGGGUCAGUGUCCCGCCAGGUGCCACCUCCAGGAAGAAGGUAAUGGCGAUGGCACCAGGCUGGCAGCUCCCUCUGGUCCCCGGUGUCAGACCGCCGGCUCGCCUCCAUCUUGUACAGCACAGCAAGAAUGGGGUUAACAUCCAACAAGUGUCCGCUGUGUUCCCUGAGAAAGACAACACUGCAAACACACGGUUGUAAAACCCCUCUAUCUGGGGAACGUAAAAUACCCGUUUCCUUCAGAGCUCAUCAGCUGAAGGGAGAGAGUGGCUGAGGGGGAAAGAAAGGAUGUUUGCCCCAUCCAGAAGCAACCAAACAACAUCUGCGGUGUUAAAGAUGACAGAAAAGCUUCUGGAGCCCAUGGGGUUUACUGAUGCCGCUUCUGCUUAUUUCACACUUGAUGUGCUGCUAGGGUUCUGCUUUGGGAGCAGGGCUGGGGUGGCUUCUGAUGAGGACUUCCCGGGAGGAAAAUCAAAACGAGAUGGUUCCUGUCUCUCUCAGGAGUGUGAAAGGGACUGGAACGUUUCCAGGCUCUCCCGUGCUUGGCUCGUCCAGUUUAAUCCAAUCCUCCCCGAGGCCAGUUUGCCAGCCCCUGUGACCCAGCGUGGGUGUGUGAACCACAGCACAGGGCUCUCUCGUGAGCCCCUGCAACCUUCAGCCCCGAGAGAGCAGCACGCUCAGGUAGGAACAAGUCGCAGGGCACAGGCAGGCCUUUGAGCGAGAUCAGGCAGACUUGCUCUCAGGGAAGUUCUCUUGGGUCUAGAAACCUUCUGCAAGUUAAGAUCACCCUUUAGAUCCCACGUGUGACCUCUCUUGUCUAUCUCUUGUUAAGGAAUAUGGGCUGCAGAUGCCCACUGAGGGGCCCCGGCAGGUUUCCCUCACCACUGUCUAUCUGUGGGGCAAUGGAUUUGUGAAGACAGGAGCUAAGAGCUCCUGGGGAGGGCCAGUUUUCGGGGCUGUCGUUCACCCUCGCCGGUGCCUGCAGCUGCCGCUCAGCCAGGGCGUUUGGCUGCAGGCCUGGUGAGAUUUGCCAGUGCCCUUUGCGAGAAAGCAUCGCCUCCUCCGAGGGGAGCGAGGAAUCGCAAAGUCCUUGGCAGCAAAGGAAGCAGCAGGAGCACCCAGCAAUAAAAGAGGUUUUCCGGGAGCACUGCUGCUUGGCCACAUCCAGCAGAAAUGGCGAUCUCCUGGACAGACGUGUGGGGAGAAGUGAGUGCAGGACACCAACUCUGGGCAGGGAGCUGGAAGCCCAGGUCCCGUUGCUGCUCCUGUCGCAGACUUACCUGGGGAAGCUGGAGUCCAAGAGGCUUCUUGCUGCGAUGAAGCAUUGAGAAAGUCAGCUCUGCUGCACGGAGAAGAGAAAUGGCUGUGCUACUGGUGCAGCCACCCCAGAGAUGUUUGGGUCACUCGGGGCAGCCAAGCUGGGGGACUGCGGGUUCACCAGGGAGCCAAAAACGAGGCCCAGAGGAACAAAGGAGCAGCCGAUACAACAACAGUAUCGACAAGAAGCAAUGCUGACUGGGAACCAUCUUCUAAGACAACAGAAACAGUUAAGUCCUACCCCAACACAACUGCUGGCUUCAGAGGACUCCUUCUAGAAAUUAUUUUUUGAAAACGCAUUACAGUGCAGGGGACUCACCAGGUUUUUGGAUACACCUCUCCACAAGCUGAUUGAAAAUGAGCCAGCUUGUGGAUUUCCGGACAGCUUACACCUCCAGCCGGCGGUGAGCUAAGAUGACACGUACAGUAAAGCUCUGUUUACCUUCAGAGGCUUCCACUCAACAAGUCGCACCCCAAACCAGCAGAACGGUGUGGAAUAGUGCUACGUACCCUAUGAUAUAAGCCACAGCAGAUAGCUUUUGAUACUGUAAAUAAAAUACUGGCGCUUU